GUCCAUCUAUUACGCUGUGAAAUCAACCAUGACUAACAAGAUUAGGUAAAGAAGCAUAGAACAUUGUCAACGCGGUAUUAUGUCGAUUCCAUUAAAGAAACUAGAAUAGCUAAUAUAUAAUCACAAGUUGUAAUCAACUAAGAUGGUGGUAAAAAGUGUGUAAAGGGGCAUUCCUUUAAUUUACAAUAAGUCUCACUUAAAUGUGAAAAAACUCAUUAGUUCCAUAUACUUGAGAAUUUGGAACAAUAUGAAGUCACAUAUAAUUUCAUGUCUACUAAUAUCUUUGUUCAUCCAUGAAUUAGUCAUGGUGGACAAAUCUUCUAGUAGCCUUUGUGUGGAAGCAAGGUCCCGACCAACACCGCCACCACCAAAACCAAAUUCGAGAAUUCGUUCGAAGCCUGUUCAGCCAACAUUACAACCACCACCUCCGCCAGCAUCAGCAACAAGCUAUCCACCAUGACCAUCCAAAGGAAACUUUUUAGAGCGCACUGUUUGUGAUGGUGGACAAGUUUUCCAGUCUUCAGUAGAAGCGUUACGGUCAUCCUUGCAAUAUUUUUCCUACAAGGAAUUAAUGUUAUUUUCUCAACUCAAGGCUGCCGAAGAGCUAAAAAGUUUAUACAGGAAAAAAGGGCGGAGGCACCCCGACACCGCCAUCACCACAUCAUAAUGUUGUAGCUGUGAGAAGAUUUACAGGUUUUACUGACUAAACCGCGUAAAUUUGUGCAAAAAUCGAGUUUGAGAGGCUAGUUCAUCUUCUGAUUUAAUAAUUAAUAAAUUCAUAGGAUUCUGUUUUAAA